rnacentral:lncRNA from 1 species
GAGCGUGUUACUGGCCCGCCUCCCCAGAGCUAUUAACACCAGCGGGCAGUAGACUGGCAUCUAAAGCAUCGUCCUCUACUGCGUGUGUCUGUCCACUCGUACAGGUACUGAAGAAGUACCCCCGUCUCUGGUGCAUGACGAAGCCCCCAAGCCGUCGGCCCAAACUCUACAUUGUGAACCUGCAGUGGACCCCGAAGGAUGACUGGGCUGCCCUGAAGCUUCAUGGGAAAUGUGAUGAUGUAAUGCGGCUCCUCAUGGACGAACUGGGCCUGGAGAUCCCUGUCUACAACCGGUGAGUGGGUGCAGCAUGGCCCCAUUUCUGCCCCUCUGUGUGAUGGGCCGUGUCUGUCUGCUGUGAGCCUCAGAGGAAC